ensembl:lncRNA
UGGUGGCUGCAGCUCCCCGGGGAGCGGGACCGGCCCCGGCCCCGGCUCCCGGCCCGGCCGGCAGGCUCUCAUCCGGCUCCUUCCCUCUCCUCUCGGCAGCUCCAUGUAUUACGAUGAGGACGGGGACCUUGCUCACGAGUUCUACGAGGAGACAAUCGUCACCAAGAACGGGAGGAAGCGCGCCAAGCUGAAGAGGAUCCACAAGAACCUGAUACCUCAGGUAGUAGCAUCCUCGCAUUCACGUGGAUUUCCCAGUGAUUAUCUGCGAGGUGUGAGUCCCAGACAUCGCUGCUGCCCGUGGGUGGGAGGCCCUGCCCCACCACUCCAGCCUCACUGGGCCAGGCUGCAUCGUGUUCCCACCGAGGAGGACUCCAGCCGUGUGGCAGGAUGGUGGCUCUCCCUCGGCUGGAGGUGAGGCAGGACGGAGCAGGCCUUCGCAGGAGAUGCGUGACUCUGUGCAACGACUGCUUAAAAACAUCCUCGCUUGAGUCAGAAGACUAAAAUACCUUUUGUAGCCUUUAGCCGACGUUUGAUGGGUAACUGGAACUGCAAACAAGCUGCUGUGAUUGAGCUGUGAAAGGGAGAGCAAGCCUGCACUUCUCAUCAGAGAGAAUCCCCUGCUUCUCAGGUAUGCGGCCCAGGGAGAGCCAGGGCACGGUGACGCCCUGCCCUGCACCCCGAGGUCCCUGGGGCCCGCAGGUUAGAUGGCCAGUGCUGCAGCACGUCCCUUUGACACCAGUGUGAUGUGACACUCCCCCAUGUGGGUUUGUUGAUGGAGGAUAAGCAGAGCAGACUGAGGGGUCUCAAAGCACAUUGGGCUGGCUGCUGCUCUCCUCUUGGGAAGGGGAUGGAGAUCAGAUGCCACUGUCUUAGACCUCGGUCUCUUCCCCCACUGUGUUUCCCCACUUAGGCCAGUGCUGGGGAGGUUGGCUUUACUGCUGCCUGCUGGAGAUCUCUGCAGUCCCUGGCCCCUGCUGGUGGCAGCAAGGUCCCAGCUCUGCAGUGGACUUGCCUCCCCCAUCGUCACACUGGCUCCUGCUGAGCGCCGUCCCUCGCCUGCUGCGGGGCUGGGCUGCCGGGCAGCUCCCUCAGCCCUGCUGCUGUUUGAACAUACCUCCCUGUAGGCUGGGCCUCGACUGAGCCAAGCAGGAAAGGAAUCCUGUCUUCCUUCCCUGUGCCCCCGAAACAAUCAAUUGGUGUACCUGCCCCGGCUUGGAAAUCUCCCUGGCGAUGUGAACUGUGGUUCCUCCCGCAUCCCAGCUGGUGGCAGGAGGAGAGAUGCGAUGCACUUUAAAGGAGGCUUUCUGCCCCUCCUCCGAGGGUCCUGCUCUUUUCUCCUCUUUCUUCCCACCUAAGAGGGUUGAGGUCUUGGUGGCACCGGAGAGCCUCUCAGCCCUGUGUGUGUCCAGCUGCUGGGGGAAAGUCCUGAGCCCAAAUGCCCUUUGGCAGCACGAGGAGCCCCUGCCUCCUUGCUCAGCUGUGCCCGGACCGGGCAGGCAGACGAGGAUCGGCAGCAGGCACAGCUUUAAAGUGGGUCAGAGCCUACUCCCCACAGCAGCCAGCUCGGCUUUCCUCCUCUUUCGUUCCAGAACUUAUUUACUUUCUAAGCACUUCAGAUGUUUGCUACCUCGAUUUUUAAUUUAAGCUGCUGGCACUUGGCUGCCAGCCCUGUUGGUGUCCACGUUGGAUGUAUCCAUCCCCGCGUCCGCUGAGAGCCGCCCGGGCGCGGGGCCACAUUCCCAGCUUCGGGGAGAUAACAGCGACAUGGCUGUUGCUGUCUUCCUGUCACCACCUCUUCCCUUCACGUCCCUCCACCCGCGGUUCCCAUCGACAGGAGUGAGCACACAGGGUGAAAUAAAUGUGCUGGCUGCCACCAGGCAGGAAGGUGGAAGGGCAGGGCUCAUCUACACUGUGAUGCUAGCCGCUCCUUUCGACAUCUUUUGUUCUGCUUGCUUGAAAGAGUCUUGUCUUAAAACAAUCCCUCACUGAAGUGUUUCUUAUUUGCACCACCUGCUCUUGAGUUUCUCCCUGGCUGGAGCUCCCUGGGAAGGGCAUCCCUUGGGCUCCACAGGAGAGCAGGAGCUGCUGUCCCCAGGAAGAGGAGAGAAAACCAUGGCCGUGCUGUCUGUGCUGCCUUGCCCCAUUGCUGUUUGAGGGCACAGGAAGCUGCACCGACCCUGCCUUGGGCAUGGGGGAAGGAGGAGGAGGAAUGGGGAGGGGGUUGGCGCUGUUUGCCUGCCCCAGUGGGGAGCCCCUCACCUGGCUACCAGCCAAAAAUCUGCUGGCAAGGCAUGGCCCAAACCCAGGGGAGGGGGCAGAGACUGUGACCAGCUUAGCAAGGAUGCUUUUGUCCUUUCUGACAGGCUGUCCAUCCUCCCCCAGCGUAUUAAACAUGCAUCCCCAAAACCCAGGCCUUCUCCCACUCUUCUACCCCCUCAGUGUCACCAGAGUGGCAGCGAACCUCUGCAGGUUGCCAACAAGCUGCAUCCUUCCCCACUUCUUCCCAGGCUGGUCCCCACAGCAGCCAGUCCCCAGGACCCCAGCAGUCCUGCAGCAGCAGGGCCUUGGGAGCACCUGGAGGGAUCUUAAAAAUGUGAAGGUCACUGUAAAUAGUAUCUGUGUCCACUGUGGUGUUGGAGCAAGCAAAAAAAAAAAAAAAAGAAAACCACGAAAGUUUUCCUUUUAAUUCUAUUUUUUUUUUUUUUUUUACAAUUUCUGUGCAACAUUGUGCUUUCCUGUGUGGAUGUGUAGCCGAAUCGUACUCACCAACACUAGGCUCCUUGCUCCUCUAGCGUGUGGGUAGGACCCAUGGGUUUGGGAAAUGUACACUACUUCUGGUCCUUCCUCCCAGUGCAUCUGUCCACUUUUGUUAAAUUUCAAUAAAAUUAUUUGUAGAGCC